UACGAAGGGGGCUAGCGUUGUUCGGAAUUACUGGGCGUAAAGCGUGCGCAGGCGGUUUCUCAAGUCAGGGGUGAAAGCCCAGAGCUCAACUCUGGAAUUGCCUUUGAGACUGAGUGGCUUGAGUACGAGAGAGGUGAGUGGAAUUCCCAGUGUAGAGGUGAAAUUCGUAGAUAUUGGGAAGAACACCGGUGGCGAAGGCGGCUCACUGGCUCGUAACUGACGCUCAUGCACGACAGCGUGGGGAUCAAACAGG
rnacentral:rRNA from 1 species